rnacentral:rRNA from 1 species
GACGAACGCUGGCGGCGUGCUUAACACAUGCAAGUCGAACGGAAAGGCCCCUUUGGGGGUACUCGAGUGGCGAACGGGUGAGUAACACGUGAGUAACCUGCCCUUGACUUCGGGAUAACUUCAGGAAACUGGGGCUGAUACCGGAUAGGAAUCCUUGCUGCAUGGUGGGGGUUGGAAAGCUUCGGCGGUUUUGGAUGGACUCGCGGCUUAUCAGCUUGUUGGUGGGGUAGUGGCUUACCAAGGCUUUGACGGGUAGCCGGCCUGAGAGGGCGACCGGCCACAUUGGGACUGAGAUACGGCCCAGACUCCUACGGGAGGCAGCAGUGGGGAAUAUUGCACAAUGGGCGGAAGCCUGAUGCAGCAACGCCGCGUGCGGGAUGACGGCCUUCGGGUUGUAAACCGCUUUCAGCAGGGGCGAAGCUUGUGGUGACGGUACCUGCAGAAGAAGCACCGGCUAACUACGUG